CAGACAACCGGUGUCCCUCAGGGUUCGCGUCCCAUUGGACCCCCAGGCCUGGGUGGUGAGGAUCUUCAGCUGGUCCACAACCUCACACAGGAGGGCUCGAUCUUGGGUCGCCUGGCUCAUUAAUAAUUGGUUGGUUUCCUGCUGUAACCUCAUGGACUCCUGUUGUGCCAUCGCCUGAGCCCGGGAUGCCUCCUGCUGGGCCGCUGUGUAAUUAACCUGUAAAGAGUCAGGACAUUUUUAAACCAUGUGAGGCAAGAAUAAGAAAACAAUUAAACAAGUCUUUUCCAGAGGACUGGGAGAAUAUACUGCUUGUCUCUAUGAACAACAACAACAACAACAACAAAGUGUCCCUUGGAGUAGUGAAUUCCUAAGGCUGAUUAUGUAACAGGAUGCCCAUGCUCUUACUGAAAAGAAACUGCUAAUUCAAGAACUGGCCCUGGGCUGUGCUGGACUCUGAUGGAAUGGGAAGGCCUGGACUCCCUUACCAAAACCGCCCUCAGUAUGUCAAAGGGCCUAAGCCCCUGACUAAGAGGCAACACUCCUUGCAAUCGAAAACCAUCACAGAAGGAUGUCUGUAAUUGAGUAUAAUAAAAUAGAACUCCUUGGAACAGAGCAGGGAAUGAUUUGUAACUGCAUGAAGAGGAAAGACUUGAAGACCAUUGUGAAAGCCAUUACCAUCCCCAUGGAUCUCAGAGCAUCUGCAAGGAGAGCUAAUACUUCCAUGCCCCAGUUCACCAGGGUAUGGUGACCUAAGCCCAGAGGGCUCCAAACUGCCUGAAGAUUCUCUAGCCACUUGGUCAGCUCUGAAGUCAGGAUUGGUUAUUUCCUCCCUUCCAGCUCUCCUUUUCUGCCUGAGAUACCCAAUACAGUGAAGGAACCUAAAUGAGAACUUGCAGAGGGGAAGUCAUGCCCUGAUUGGCCACAAGGAGGCACUACCUAAACAAUUCAUUUACAAAUUUGCUGGUGAAUACAGGCAUCAGCCUAGCCCCUGUGGAAGGGAGCAGGUCAGGAUUUUAAAAAAAAUAUCGCCUCCCCGGCAGUAUGGACAUGGAGCAACUGUUGAAAUGGAUGAUGCAGCAGAAGGUCCAACUCAGCAGCAGCAGCUACAGCAACUCCUCCAGCAGAUGAUCACCCAGCACCAGCAGCUGAUCCAAGAUUUAGUUGUUCAGCAGCAACAGCAACAGCAGCUGGUGCAGCAGGUGGUGACCAUAUUGCAGCCUCCCACAAUAGUCGGUCUUCCGGCACAGAUCUGACAGAGGCCCCAGUACCAGUCAGACUAACAAAAAUGGGACCUGCAGAUGAUCCAGAGGCCUUUCUCAGAAGGUUUGAAUGAGUGGCAGUGGCAACAUGGUGGCCACAUGAGCAAUGGGCAAUCUUACUAUCACCAUACUUGACUGGAAUUGCACAAAAGGCCUGUUGUGGGUUAGACUCAGUAAUAUCACAGGAUUAUGCAUGAGUCAAACUGGCCAUUUUAGAUUCAUUGGCUAUCUCAGAGGAAACAUUCAGACAGUAAUUUUGGGAGGAGCAAUAUCCUUUGAGUGCCCAGCCCCACAUGAUGGCAUUGAAACUGGAAGAAUGGUGUUGGCAGUGGCACAGACCCAAGACAAUGGUAGGGGUUCAAGUAGUGGAAAUGAUUCUGCUCAAACAGUUUACACAGGUAUUCCCAGCCAGGGAAGGAGACUGGGUGUUACACCACUGGCUUGAGACAAUAACUGAAGCAAUCCAGCUAAUGGAGAUCUCUAUGGUGGCUAGGACAGCAAUACCCAGAAAGGGACCCUCUUGGGCCAAGGGAUAAGCUCUGGUGAACAAGAAACCUGGCCAAGGGGAUCUGUGUCCUGAAGGACUCUACCUACCCAGGGCCUCCCUAGCCAGGAUUUAGGAAGCCCAGGAAGUUGUGCAAGUCGUGAACAACUCAAACUAAGGAACUGGAAUAGUCUAGCUGAGGGUCAGCUCAAGAAUCCUCCAACUCUCCCCAGUCUCAAAAAAGGGAAAUCCUGGGGUCAGGCACAGGGAAGGCCCAUGCAAAAGAGAUUACUGAGAAAUGAGUGGGACACCCCCAUACCAGCAAGCAGGUCCAGGAUGUUUAUUUUAUGUGUGGCCUCCCCUGGCACUGGUACCAAGACUGCCUGUUUAUGGAAUGCAGUUGUGGCAAGUCUGGACUGCAUAGGGCCAAACAGGUUGGCCAGGGCCAGCUAAACUAACCAUCCUGGUUAAACUGGAUAGAAGUAAUAGGCCUUGUGGUCUCAGGGACACAGAGGGGCCAGACCCUCAUGAAAGAAUCAUCAGUACCAACUCCAAGAUUGCCAGACAGCACCAUCUACUUACAGUGUUUGCAUGAGGAUGUAAAGCCAUAUCCCCACACUCAAUUUCUGCUAUCCACGGGGGAGCGUACAAGACCCCUAAUGGCCAGCCUCAUGACAUCACUCAGUUACCUAGUCAUUAUUGACUGAGACUGGGACAAUUUUGGGGACCUCCUGAUGGCAUUCUUGGGAUCACCCCAGAACACAGAGGCCUCACCACUGGCAUCCCCUCAGUUGACUUGGGGCCCAAUAGGCCUCACUCAUAUAGCAUAUAGCCAGGCCAGAGGGCAAGAGUUCCAAGCAGCUAGUUGCUGCCUUAGGAUCCCUGUCAUUCCUGCAGCUUAUGGUUACCCCCUUAUCCAAAUCUGAGAUCCUGAUUAGGUUCUACAAAGUUAUUGAAGAACAAAGAGGAGAUGAGACUUUAAGCUGAUCCUAUGUACUAGUGGUUAUUUUUAAUGGGGAGAUAGUGGACCUCCUGCUAUCUGAAGUAUUCCUCCAUUUUGAAAUUCAGGGUGAGUGGUUGUACCACCUAGAGAGAGAUCAGCAGAGGAAGUUCAAACCCAAUUCCUGGUGCCCCAGAUGCCCCAGUUUUUCUGGCCCAGGAUAUAUAAGAAUGUUCCAGACUUCUAUACCUCUUGCCCAGAAUGUCAACUAACUGUACCCCAGAGAAUGACGAAGGCUAUACUGGUCCAUCUCCCCUUGGUUGACAUACCAUUUGUGAGGACUGGGAUGGACAUGGUUGGGCCACUCAAGAAAAAUGUGGGCUGGGUAUUGCUAAAUCUUCAUAAUCAUGAAUUAUGCUACCCAAUAUCCUGAGGCCUUACCAUUGUGCUCCACAAACACCAAAGCCACUGCAGCUGAAUUGAUGAAGAUCUUUGCCCAAGUAGGGGUGUCUCAGGAGAUUCUUACACAUUAGGGAACUAAAUUUACAUCUCAGGUAUGAAAAAAACAAAGCUGACUACUGAAGAUCAAGUACCUCCUAACCUUCAACUACCCUCCCCAAAUGAUGGGUGGUAGAAGGUUUAAUCAGACACUAAAAAAAAUAAUUUGUCACAGAUACUUGUCACUGGGACCUGCUGCUUCCCCACCAUCACAAUCCUGUUUGUGGUACGACAGGUACCACAAUCAUGCACAGCAUUCUCCCCAUUUGAAUUGUUGUAUGGGAGGCAACCAUGGGGGAUUCUGGACUUAGUACAAGAAAUGUGGGAGGAACUAAGUCCCCAAGGUGACAAUGUUGUAUAAAACAUCCUCACUGUUUGCAUAAGGCUAAGAGGCCUUAGGCACCAUCACACAGGAUAAUAUCCUAAAUUCAUAGAGCACCCAAGAAACAACCUAUAAUAAAGGGGCCCACCUCUGAGUGUUCCAACAGGGAGGAGCUUGUUGCUUCCUAAAUCUGAUUUCUAGUUCUAAGUCAAAACUACUGGCCUGCUGGCAGGGUCCUUACAAAAUUAUUUGCCAGGUAGGGCCAGUGAAUUUUGAAAUCAGGCAGUCAGUCAAGAGGAGGACCAAACAAAUUUACCAUGUCAAUAUCCUAAAGCUGGGAAAAGCCAGGGAGGGCAUAUGUAUAGCUUGCUACCCUCUGGAAUUAGAGUUUGGGCUGCAGACAGACAGCAUCUCAGACUUCCGAAGACAGGGGACAAUCUCACCAGAGCAGAAGGUCCAAGCCCAACAGCUGAUUGCUGCCUUCCCAAUGGUAUUUUCUGCCCAGCCUGGGUGAACCCACCUCACCACCCAUCACAUAGCCUGGACACUGUGUCAGGGAAAACUCGCAGCCUUUUCCCCAGAAGCUGAGAGAGAUCAUGGAACAAGAACUCCAAUCUAUGUUGGACCUUGGGGUAACUGAGGAAUCCUGUAGUGACUGGGGGAGUCCAAUAAUAUUGGUCCCUAAGCUGGAUGUAACCAACCAAUUUUACAUUGACUUUAGAAAAGCCAAUGCCAUAUCAAAGUUACCCCCUGCCAUGUGUUGAAAAGCUAUUACAUCAGCUGGGUGAAGCCAAAUAUAUCCCCACCCUGGAUCUUAACCCAAAAGAUACUCACAAAUUCCAUUCACACCAGAAUCUCAAAACCCCCCCAACAUCCUUUGCCUCCCCCUUCAGCCUGUAUCAGUUCCAGACCAUGCUGUGGGCCUUACACAGCGCACCAGCAACAUUCCAACAGCUAAUGGACCACGUCCUGCGGUCCAUAACCAUUAUGCCACUGCUUACCUCAACAAUGUUGUGAUCUAUAGCCAGAGCUGGGAAGGCCACCUAAAGCAAGUAGCUUCUGUACUUUGGUCCAUUGAAGAAGAUGGACUAACAGCAAACCCUGCACAAUACUGCAUAGGCAAAGACAAGGUGGCUUACCUCAUGUAUACAUUGGGGAAAGGUCAGGUGCAAUCACUUGUGGACAAGGUCCAGGCCUUAAGGGCUUUCCCCACUCUGACUACAAAGAAGCAGAUG